AUUGAACGCUGGCGGCAUGCCUUACACAUGCAAGUCGAACGGCAGCACGGGAGCAAUCCUGGUGGCGAGUGGCGAACGGGUGAGUAAUAUAUCGGAACGUGCCCAGUCGUGGGGGAUAACGCAGCGAAAGCUGUGCUAAUACCGCAUACGAUCUACAGAUGAAAGCGGGGGAUCGCAAGACCUCGCGCGAUUGGAGCGGCCGAUAUCAGAUUAGCUAGUUGGUGAGGUAAAGGCUCACCAAGGCGACGAUCUGUAGCUGGUCUGAGAGGACGACCAGCCACACUGGAACGGAGACACGGUCCAGACUCCUACGGGAGGCAGCAGUGGGGAAUUUUGGACAAUGGGCGCAAGCCUGAUCCAGCAAUGCCGCGUGCAGGAUGGAGGCCUUCGGGUUGUAAACUGCUUUUGUACGGAACGAAACGGUGAGCUCUAAUACAGUUUGCUAAUGACGGUACCGUAAGAAUAAGCACCGGCUAACUACGUGCCAGCCGCCGCGGUAACAC
rnacentral:rRNA from 1 species